rnacentral:misc_RNA from 1 species
GUGAAGUACAGCCAUCCGUCCCAAUAUCCAACCAGCGUCGUUUUCACACGGAAUGGAAGCUUCCCUAUCACUGACCAUUGCUGCAAAUCCAGAUUAAAUUGGAAUACUUCUCCAUUGAGAACCAUCUUCUUGGUUUGAGGAUGCUUAUCUGUCGUGCCGCCAACAAUAACAAUUGAAUUGUUAACCACCACCCAAGCAAAUUCAAUAUGGGAAUCUGGUUUUGGCAUUGAUGGCAACACUUUCCAUUUCA